rnacentral:rRNA from 1 species
CACGGGGGGAGCAAGCGUUGUUCGGAAUCACUGGGCGUAAAGGGCGUGCAGGCGGUCCGGUAAGUGGGAUGUGAAAUGCCCCGGCUCACCCGGGGACCGGCAUCUCAUACUGCUUGGCUUGAGUACGGGAGAGGAUGUGGGAAUUCCUGGUGUAGCGGUGAAAUGCGUAGAUAUCAGGAGGAACACCGGUGGCGAAGGCGCACAUCUGGCCCGAUACUGACGCUGAGGCGCGAAAGCUAGGGGAGCAAACGGG